AUGCAGAAUUUGAAGAGCCACGCUUUGCUUCUGGAUACUUGCAGGAAGCAUCUGGCUCCAGUGGGCCUCGUAGGUGAACUGUCAUUUUUGUUCAAGCCAGAGAAAGCAUCUGCCUUUGCGCUGAAGAAGAUAGUUUGAACAUUCUCUAAACAGGAAUAUUCCAGGAGUAGUGGAAAACGGUAUGUAUGUGUUGUGGCCAUUCGAGGCCUUUUUUUUUCCCCCUUGGAAAAGUCAAUAACUAAUACUGGAUUAAGUUUUCAUUUCUUGCCAUAGUUAUCCCAUAAGAAGAGGCUUCAAUCAGUUAUGUUCUUUUAGUCUUAAGCCCUCUCAAAUAUCUCGAGUUGAACCGAGCUUUGCAUUGUGUGUACCAGCCAUCCCAGUGUGAAGAAUCUGUUUUGAAGCUAAGGGAGCUGAUCCUGAUGCAAAACUUCAACACUGUGAGCUAGAUCAAGGUGCUGAUGCUCUAAACUUGGGGUCAGGCCGCUGCAUGAGAUUUUAAUUCGACUUGGAAUGAUUGCACCAAAAAUAAUGAAGACUUAAUUUUUCUUUUCUUGGGAUAAUUAUGUUCACUCAAACGCUUCACGUGCUAGGCAAAGCCGAAUCUAAAUUUGGUCCCCCUUUUAAUCUUUUCGCCAUAUGUUUUUUUUGGAGCAAAUUUAAAAGCCCUUCUGUUUAUCCCUGUUCUGUAAAUUUU
rnacentral:lncRNA from 1 species